rnacentral:lncRNA from 1 species
ACGUAGGAAAAUUUGAUCUUCCAUUGAAUUUGAAAACAGUUGUUUGCAUCGACAAAACUUGAUUAAUGCUUGAACUUGUAGCCAUUUUAAUGUAACAAGCUCUGAUGCCAAAUCUUGGCAAAUGAAUUUAAUUACCUUAAUAUAAUUGUGUUGUUAUAAGAAUAAUAUUAAAAAAAUAACAUCAUAAACAAUCUUCUUC